GUUGAAAGCUCUUCCCUGGGCCUAGUUCAGGCAGAGCUCCCGAGCGCAUUCUCGGAGUUGGCUAGCCAUGUUUCACCUCUCACUGCGCACCUCCCGCUCUCUAGCAAAGGCCCAGUGGUCCGCGUCCCUCCCCCCCCCCAACACAGCAGACUCUACAGCUUGUCCCCUUGAGCUGGGGAGGGGGCGGCAGAUUUAAAAUAGAUCUCAAGUGCCAACUAUUUGCCUUUGCCAUCUCACACCUGUGGUGUAUUUCUGGGACUUCUGCUAUUCUAGGGACUGUGCCCCCGAAUAAUCUGGGAGGGAGGCUCGGCUGAGGACUGACACUGAGGCUGGAGAUGGCUGCACCUGGGACUGAGGAAGCUGGCCUCUCUGGGGCUGCAAAGACCGGGACUGCAUUUCAGGGCUUUAGCGAAAUCCAGGCUUCAUGUGCGGCUUGGACACCAGAAAAGAAUUGUCUCCGGAAGCUCAAAGUCGCUCCCCCAUCUCCUUACCCCCUCCCCCGCCGGCCAAAGCUCGACGUAAAUCAGAAGCUCUGGAGAACAAAGGCCCAGAUCACUGCCAGAUCGGGGCUCCUCCCCAGGCCUCGGCCAAUGCCAUCCUCGGCCAGCCCGUGGCCAUCCUCGUCACCCUGCUCCGGACUAGCCUGGACAGCAGCUCCUCACUUUCCGGGGAGGGCCUCCCGGAUGAUUGAGAUAUUCUUCCCCCUCUUCCUCCUCCUUCCUCCCCUCCCUCUUCUCCCUAUCUCUCUCUCCCUGUUCCAUCCCCUCCCUCCACUUCUUUCCUUUACCUUCCUCUCCCUCUCCCUCUCCCUCGUGCUUCCUUACUCGUCCUCCCCCCUCCUCUCUCCUCCACUCCUCUCACCCUCCCCUCCCUCUCUUCUCAUACCCCUCAAACCUUCUCCUCCCUUUCCUUUCUCUUCCCUCCCUCUUCUUGCUCUUCCUUUUCUCUCUCUUCCUUCCCCUUCUUGCUUUCCCUCCUUCUCUCUUCCUCCUUUCCUCUUCCUCUGUGUCUCCUUCCCUCCCUCCCUCUCCCCCCUCCCUCUCUCUUUCCCUUCAUCUCCUUCACCUUUCCUCCUCCUCCCUCCCUCUUUCUCUCCCUCCUUCACUUCUCUUCUCCCUCCCUCUUCCUUUUUUUUCCCUUUCCUCCUUUUCCUUAUCUCCCUCAUUUCCCCAUUGACAGAAGCAAGAGACAGACUUUGUGUAGCCCACUAGCAGGGCCUCGAAACCCUCAGAUUAAGCUAUGGAGAGG
rnacentral:lncRNA from 1 species